GGAGAGAUGGCUCAGUGGUUAAGAGCACUGACUAUUCUUCCAGAGGUCCUGAGUUCAAUUCCCAGUAACCACA
rnacentral:tRNA from 1 species